CUGCAGGGCUGAGGAGGAUGGGGAGACCAUCAUGAAGACCAUGUCUGACUGCUGGGUGGUGGGGAAGAAGUCUGACCAGCGGGAGUUCUAUGUGGUCCUCAACCAGAAGAAUGCCAACCUGAUUGAGAUUAAUGAGGAAGUGAAGAAACUCUGUGCAACAAACUUCAACAACAUCUUCUUCCUGGACUAGAAGCACCAAUAUAAGGGCUUUAGGUGAAUCUAUUAGCAGUAUCAAACUAUAUUUACUAGCCGUAUCUAAUAGGAAUACAUGUACAAUGAUCAUACAAUCAUUUCAUUGUUUUUAUUUGUAAAUACAUUAGAAACUCAGCUAGACAGUGGACAGAAGUGCAAAAUGGUAUAGAAGUCAAUGCUGCACUUCUUAUUUUUCAGGUAAAUAAUGUUAUACUGCAUUGAUUAUAUGAUUAGUUGAGUUGUACUUGUACAGUGUCAUGAAAAUCUUUUAGUUGACGUCAUAUAGUUAACAAGCAAGAGUAUGUAAAAGUAUCUGUAACAAUUCUUUGUAAAGAUAUUAAAUUGAUGCUGACUCUGCAUUGUAAACAAUUCAACUGUGGAAGAAAUUCAUGUACAUGGAUCCGUGUUACAAAAUAAAUUGUCAUA